rnacentral:rRNA from 1 species
UUCGGAAGUAGCAUCGGGAAUUUGCACAUGGUCGAAGCCGACGCACCACGCCGCUGAGGACGACGCCUUUCGCUCCUAACCUCUUCACACCACGAACCGAACCGCCGCUCCUGACGACAAGCCCCGCUAAUUCCUGCCACCACCCCCGUAUUCCUAGGGCCUACCUUUCCCGAAUUAUCGCCUAAAGACCUCCAGCCGCUUGUCCCCUCCUUGCAAAGCCCCGCCUUAACCCCGGUCUCCCUCGCUUCCGCCCCUAGAGUUCGGUAGCGAGAUCGGAAUCCUGGUUUGCCGUAAACGCGCAGAUAUCGGGGGACCCCGGUGCGAAGGCGGAUCUUUGGGCUGAUACUGACGCUGAGGAGCGAAAGCCUGGCGAGCGACCAGGAUUAGAUACCCUGGUAGUCCACGCCGUAAACGCUGGGCACUAGGUGUGGGCAACAUUCCACGUUGUCCGUGCCGCAGCUAACCCAUUAAGUGCCCCGCCUGGGGAGUACGGCCGCAAGGCUAAAACUCAAAGGAAUUGACGGGGGCCCGCACAAGCGGCGGAGCAUGUGGCUUAAUUCGACGCAACGCGAAGAACCUUACCAAGGCUUGACAUACACCGGAAAACCCUGGAGACAGGGUCCCCCUUGUGGUCGGUGUACAGGUGGUGCAUGGCUGUCGUCAGCUCGUGUCGUGAGAUGUUGGGUUAAGUCCCGCAACGAGCGCAACCCUUGUCCCGUGUCGCCAGCAGGCCCUUGUGGUGCUGGGGACUCACGGGAGACCGCCGGGGUCAACUCGGAGGAAGGUGGGGACGACGUCAAGUCAUCAUGCCCCUUAUGUCUUGGGCUGCACACGUGCUACAAUCACCGGUACAAUGAGCUGCGAUUCCGCGAGGUGGAGCGAAUCUCAAAAAGCCGGUCU